rnacentral:tRNA from 1 species
GGAGGGAUACCCAAGUGGCUAAAGGGGGCAGACUGUAAAUCUGUUGGCAUUGCCUUCGAUGGUUCGAAUCCAUCUCCCUCCA